AUUCUGUCUGGUGUACUGGUAAUAUCUGGACUGGUUUAAUGGCUUGUUUCAUGGGAGAAGCGCUAAACUUUACCUCAACAUUUAUGUAAAGUUAAAGCUGCACAGAUUCUGAGUCUUGAAAGUUUAUUUCAAAGAAAAGACAAUGCCUGUGCCACAUAUUUGACUUGGUUUUAUAAAUAUUACGAAGCUCCAGGAAAUAUGAGCAGGAUCUCAAAUAUAUUCAACAAGCUUCCAAUUUUUGUCUUUUGAGAUGGUUGCUCUUGGAACACAGAAAUAUGCUUUAAGAUGUCAAGCCUCCUCUGCUGAUGCUGUAUGGAGAACAGACAAGCUUUCCCAUCAAGCCCUAACCAAACUGCAGAACUGUGAAUAAAAUCAAUAAUUGUUAUGAAA
rnacentral:lncRNA from 1 species